AGAAGGAAGCAACAUUGAUGAGUUCUUCCUUGAGUCAAGCCAUCAAAUUUCAUAUGAAGGAAGGGCGUCUUGGCACAAAUCAGUGAGUCCAGUGGGAUGUGGUGUCACGUGCCUACAAGAGAUGAAGAGAUGGAGACAAGAGGAUCAGGAGUUCAACCUUUUUGUAGCUUCAGAUGGGAGCAGAUGCAGUUGAACACAUGGUGCUGAUCCAGCUUAUGUUAUGGAUGCGCAAAAGAGGACAUCUCUAUUUCCAUCUGUUUAUGCAGAGAUCUGAAUAAAAGCCUUCAUCUGAAAAGCA